GACGAACGCUGGCGGCGUGCUUAACACAUGCAAGUCGAACGGAAAGGCCCUGCUUUUGUGGGGUGCUCGAGUGGCGAACGGGUGAGUAACACGUGAGUAACCUGCCCUUGACUUUGGGAUAACUUCAGGAAACUGGGGCUAAUACCGGAUAGGAGCUCCUGCUGCAUGGUGGGGGUUGGAAAGUUUCGGCGGUUGGGGAUGGACUCGCGGCUUAUCAGCUUGUUGGUGGGGUAGUGGCUUACCAAGGCUUUGACGGGUAGCCGGCCUGGGAGGGUGACCGGCCACAUUGGGAUUGAGAUACGGCCCAGACUCCUACGGGAGGCAGCGGUGGGGGAUAUUGCACAAUGGGCGGAAGCCUGAUGCAGCAACGCCGCGUGCGGGAUGACGGCCUUCGGGUUGUAAACCGCUUUCGCCUGUGACGAAGCGUGAGUGACGGUAAUGGGUAAAGAAGCACCGGCUAACUACGUG
rnacentral:rRNA from 1 species